rnacentral:rRNA from 1 species
GUCUAUUUGAAGGUAUAAGAAGUCAGGCCUGCCCACUGAUUUAGUUUUUAAGGGCCGCGGUAUUAUGACCGUGCAAAGGUAGCAUAAUCAUUAGGUUUUUAAAUGGAAUCUCGUAUGAAUGGUCAGACAAAGGAAAAGCUGUCUUUAUUUUAAAGUUUGAAUUUUACUUUUAAGUGAGAAGGCUUAAAUUUGUUAGAGGGACGAUAAGACCCUAUAAAGCUUUACAUAGUAAUUAUAUUUAAUUAAAUUUAAAAUAAAAAUUUAAUAUAGGUAUAUUGUUUUAUUGGGGAGAUAAAAGUAUAAAUAAUAUUAACUGCUUUAAUGAGAGACAUUUAUUUAUGAAUUAUAAUAAUUUAAGAGAUCUUAUAGAUGAUGUAGAAAAAAGAUUAAGUUACUUUAGGGAUAACAGUGUAAUUUUUUUUGAGAGUUCAUAUCGAAAAAAAAGUUUGCAACCUCGAUGUUGAAUUAAAAUAUCUAUAUAAUGUAGUUGUUAUAUAAGAAGGUCUGUUCGACCUUU